rnacentral:rRNA from 1 species
AUUGAACGCUGGCGGCAGGCUUAACACAUGCAAGUCGAGCGGAGAGAGGUAGCUUGCUACUGAUCUUAGCGGCGGACGGGUGAGUAAUGCUUAGGAAUCUGCCUAUUAGUGGGGGACAACAUUUCGAAAGGAAUGCUAAUACCGCAUACGUCCUACGGGAGAAAGCAGGGGAUCUUCGGACCUUGCGCUAAUAGAUGAGCCUAAGUCGGAUUAGCUAGUUGGUGGGGUAAAGGCCUACCAAGGCGACGAUCUGUAGCGGGUCUGAGAGGAUGAUCCGCCACACUGGGACUGAGACACGGCCCAGACUCCUACGGGAGGCAGCAGUGGGGAAUAUUGGACAAUGGGCGCAAGCCUGAUCCAGCCAUGCCGCGUGUGUGAAGAAGGCCUUAUGGUUGUAAAGCACUUUAAGCGAGGAGGAGACUACUUUAGUUAAUACCUAGAGAUAGUGGACGUUACUCGCAGAAUAAGCACCGGCUAACUCUGUGCCAGCCGCCGCUGUAAAAC